rnacentral:tRNA from 1 species
CAGAGUGUAGCUAAACCAGAAUAGCAUCUCCCUUACACUGAGAAGAUCCCCGUGCAAAUCGGGUCGCCCUGAA